ACUUCUCUGCGGAGGCCAGAGGACGCGGCCACCGCCCCUCCCGCUGCCUCUGCGCUCCUAAGCCCCGCGGGAGCUGUCUACUUUCCAAGCCCCGAGACCGGAAGUGGGGGGUGCCUCCCCCGAACGGCCGCCAUCUUCCCUCUAACGGCACCACGGUUUUUCUCGUUAUUUGCUUCCAGCACAGAAGAGCGGCUGCAGGUGCAAGAUCAAAAGUUUCAACUUAAAGCCAAAAACACCACUGCAAAGCAGAAUAAAGUUUGGAAAAAACACCUACUGUCAGAAAAAUGGCACUAACUCAACCCAGAGAGAAACCCCAUGAAUACAGUUUGUGUGGAAAAGCAAUCAGAAGCAAUUCUAACCUUGUUUGGCCCAAGAGAAAUUACACAGGAGAGAAAUGAAAUGAAUGUCAAGAAUGUGGGAGAGUGUUUAGUUAUCCUUCAUCCCUUCAGACCCAUGUGUGAUCUCAUGCUGGCAAGAAACCCUGUGAAUGUUUUCAGCGUGGGAAAGCUCGUGGGUCAUCACUCAUCCUUUGUGACACGUGUGCGAAUCCACACUGGAGAGAAACCAUAUGAGUUUAACCAAUGUGGGAAACUCUUCAGAUCCAGCUUGAGCCUUGCUAUACUCAAGAGGAUACACAAUGGGAGAAGCUGUAUAAAUGCAAUGACUGUGGAAAGACUUCAUCAGGAGCAGGAACCUGACCGUGCAUAAGAGAGUGCACACCAGGGAGGGACUAUCUGUGUGAAGAUUGUGGCAAAGCCUUUAGCAGGAAAUUCCAUCGGAUGGCACACAUGAGAACCCAUAAUGGGGAGAAGCUUUACCAUUGCAGUAACCAUGGAGAAGCCUUCAGUAGGAGCUCUAACCUGACUGCUCACAAGAGGGUACGUACAGGGGAGAUUUACCAGUGCAGCUGCUGUGGGAAACUUCAGUAGUCACCCAUCCCAUAGGAAACAUGUGAGUACUCACAGUGGAGAGAAGCCCUAGGAUUAGAAGCACAUGGGAAAGCCCCAGUUGGUCUCACAUGUGAGCAACUCUGUGAAUAUCAUUAGUGUGAGAAAGUCCUCCACGGGGACUUCAGUUCCUGCACAAAGAAAUUCAGGGUAGGAGAGAAACCUUAUGAGGUUUAUAAAUAUGGAAUUGCUUUCUUCAGGGUCUUAUCCUCAAAAUGGAAAUCUAACUCAUUAGUUUUCAGAUCGUGUUUGUGAAUAAAAGCAUUUAAGGCCAUAGAUAUCCUCUCAAUAUCCCUUUAGCUACAUUACAUGGAUUUUGACCUAAGGUAUUUUUAUUUUGGUUUAAUUCUAAAUACUGUUUCUAUUAGAUGUAUUUUAACUCACAAUGUUGAUUUCCUUUUUGAGCCUAUCAAAAUACAACUUCAUUUAAAUUUCACCUGAACUCUCUCCUUCCCCCAGAUUUUAUGAUAUCCAUAGGUCUUUGUUUGGGAGGAUACCCAUGGUUCCUUAGGUGUGUUGUCUCCCUUGUUGCAAUGAGCCAGUAAACCUGACUUUGUUAGACUAUAGAUUUUGUCCUGAUAGUCUUUGGCUGAUUGUGUUGGGACAAUAACAUGCAGUCAUAAAUAUGUUCUACUCUCUUGUCCUUAG